AUGCAAGUCGAACGCUUCUUUUUCCACCGGAGCUUGCUCCACCGGAAAAAGAGGAGUGGCGAACGGGUGAGUAACACGUGGGUAACCUGCCCAUCAGAAGGGGAUAACACUUGGAAACAGGUGCUAAUACCGUAUAACAAUCGAAACCGCAUGGUUUUGAUUUGAAAGGCGCUUUCGGGUGUCGCUGAUGGAUGGACCCGCGGUGCAUUAGCUAGUUGGUGAGGUAACGGCUCACCAAGGCGACGAUGCAUAGCCGACCUGAGAGGGUGAUCGGCCACAUUGGGACUGAGACACGGCCCAAACUCCUACGGGAGGCAGCAGUAGGGAAUCUUCGGCAAUGGACGAAAGUCUGACCGAGCAACGCCGCGUGAGUGAAGAAGGUUUUCGGAUCGUAAAACUCUGUUGUUAGAGAAGAACAAGGAUGAGAGUAACUGUUCAUCCCUUGACGGUAUCUAACCAGAAAGCCACGGCUAACUACGUGCCAGCAGCCGCGGUAAUACGUAGGUGGCAAGCGUUGUCCGGAUUUAUUGGGCGUAAAGCGAGCGCAGGCGGUUUCUUAAGUCUGAUGUGAAAGCCCCCGGCUCAACCGGGGAGGGUCAUUGGAAACUGGGAGACUUGAGUGCAGAAGAGGAGAGUGGAAUUCCAUGUGUAGCGGUGAAAUGCGUAGAUAUAUGGAGGAACACCAGUGGCGAAGGCGGCUCUCUGGUCUGUAACUGACGCUGAGGCUCGAAAGCGUGGGGAGCAAACAGGAUUAGAUACCCUGGUAGUCCACGCCGUAAACGAUGAGUGCUAAGUGUUGGAGGGUUUCCGCCCUUCAGUGCUGCAGCUAACGCAUUAAGCACUCCGCCUGGGGAGUACGACCGCAAGGUUGAAACUCAAAGGAAUUGACGGGGGCCCGCACAAGCGGUGGAGCAUGUGGUUUAAUUCGAAGCAACGCGAAGAACCUUACCAGGUCUUGACAUCCUUUGACCACUCUAGAGAUAGAGCUUCCCCUUCGGGGGCAAAGUGACAGGUGGUGCAUGGUUGUCGUCAGCUCGUGUCGUGAGAUGUUGGGUUAAGUCCCGCAACGAGCGCAACCCUUAUUGUUAGUUGCCAUCAUUUAGUUGGGCACUCUAGCAAGACUGCCGGUGACAAACCGGAGGAAGGUGGGGAUGACGUCAAAUCAUCAUGCCCCUUAUGACCUGGGCUACACACGUGCUACAAUGGGAAGUACAACGAGUCGCAAAGUCGCGAGGCUAAGCUAAUCUCUUAAAGCUUCUCUCAGUUCGGAUUGUAGGCUGCAACUCGCCUACAUGAAGCCGGAAUCGCUAGUAAUCGCGGAUCAGCACGCCGCGGUGAAUACGUUCCCGGGCCUUGUACACACCGCCCGUCACACCACGAGAGUUUGUAACACCCGAAGUCGGUGAGGUAACCUUUUGGAGCCAGCCGCCUAAGGUGGGAUAGAUGAUUGGGGUGAAGUCGUAACAAGGUAGCCGUA
rnacentral:rRNA from 1 species